GACGAACGCUGGCGGCAUGCCUAACACAUGCAAGUCGAACGAGACCUUCAGGACCUGUCUCGUCUGAGUUCGUAAGCGGACGGGACCUUCACGCGGGUUUAACCUACCUCCCCGACAGGGAUGACAAUACGGAACAAUGUCUACUACCGAAUAAUUUAUCGCCCUUGGAUGGGCCCGCGUUGGAUUAGCUUGUUCGUAGGGUAAUAGCCUACCAAGGCGACGAUCCGUAGCUGGUCUGAGAGGAUGAUCAGCCACACUGGGACUGAGACACGGCCCAGACUCCUACGGGAGGCAGCAGUGGGGGAUAUUGCACAAUGGGGGAAAGCCUGAUGCAGCAAUGCCGCGUGAGUGAUGAAGGUCUUAGGGUUGUAAAGCUCUUUUACCCGGGAUGAUAAUGACGGUACCGAAAGAGAAAGCUCCGGCUAACUACGUG
rnacentral:rRNA from 1 species